rnacentral:rRNA from 1 species
CCUACGGGUGGCAGCAGUGGGGGAUAUUGCACAAUGGGGGAAACCCUGAUGCAGCGACGCCGCGUGGGUGAAGAAGCGCCUCGGCGCGUAAAGCCCUGUCAGCAGGGAAGAAAAUGACGGUACCUGAAGAAGAAGCCCCGGCUAACUACGUGCCAGUAGCGGCGGUAAUACGUAGGGGGCAAGCGUUAUCCGGAUUUACUGGGUGUAAAGGGGGCGCAGACGGCGAUGCAAGCCAGGAGUGAAAGCCCGGGGCCCAACCCCGGGACUGCUGUUGGAACUGCGUGGCUAGAGUGCAGGAGGGGCAGGCGGAAUGCCUGGUGUAGCGGUGAAAUGCGUAGAUAUCAGGAGGAACACCGGUGGCGAAGGCGGCCUGCUGGACUGCAACUGACGUUGAGGCACGAAAGCGUGGGGAGCAAACAGGAUUAGAUACCCCAGUAGUC